CUGUCAACCAAAAGUAAACACCUCACCUUUAGGUACACUAGAGUAAACCUAAGUUUCCUUUUGUUUGGGUUUUUUUUUUUUCUUCUUCAGUUGUCUCUGCCAUUUUUGACCUGACCAUUAGUGCUGUCCUGACUAGCUCACUGUGAGCAGAAAAAAAUUAUCAAACCGUCAACCAGAAGUAAACACAUCACUUUGGACAACUCAAAGACACAGUCUACUUGCUGUUUAACCCAGUCUUUGGUCGGAGGUGAAGAAGAGAUGACAUCCUCCACACCAUUCCUCUGCUGCUCUCAACAACCAUCACCCGCUGUGCUGGACAGACUGCAGCACCCACCAGGACCCUUCUCUCAUGGACAACACAAACAUGUGUUUUACCUGCUCGUGCUCCAGAUGUCCUGAAGCAGCUCUCAAUGACCACCAGACACCAGAGUGAAGCAGAACUGAUGCUGUAGUACCUGUCACUCACUGGGCUUGUCCCUGCUGAACCUCCAAGAGAUAAACCCCUCUUCAAGAAUGUCUGAGGUAAUGUCUUAGUGAACUUGUGUUCAUUUAUUUUUUCUUAGUAAUCUUAGCUGCUGUAUUAAUGCUUCUGACGCUAAUGUACAGCUCUGCUGAUAUCGUCUUUAACAGCAGUGUUUUCUCCCAGGUCUUCUUCAAGCCAGUUAAGAGAGGAAGAACAGCUUGGACACUCAGACAGCUGAACGUACCAAAGGUAGACAUCAUGCAGCCACCCUACGCCUUGAGCCUCCCUGUGUGAGGAAGCUUUGCUGCUGCAGACCUGGUGAAGUGGCUCUGGACAGAA